rnacentral:rRNA from 1 species
AAUAGAUACCCUGGUAGUCCACGCUGUAAACGAUGGAUACUAGGUGUAGGAGGUAUCGACCCCUUCUGUGCCGGAGUUAACACAAUAAGUAUCCCACCUGGGGAGUACGGCCGCAAGGUUGAAACUCAAAGGAAUUGACGGGGGCCCGCACAAGCAGUGGAGUAUGUGGUUUAAUUCGAAGCAACGCGAAGAACCUUACCAGGGCUUGACAUCCAUAGAAUCCUCAAGAGAUUGGGGAGUGCCUUCGGGAGCUAUGAGACAGGUGGUGCAUGGUUGUCGUCAGCUCGUGUCGUGAGAUGUUGGGUUAAGUCCCGCAACGAGCGCAACCCUUAUCGUUAGUUGCCAGCACGUGAAGGUGGGCACUCUAGCGAGACUGCCGGUGACAAAUCGGAGGAAGGUGGGGAUGACGUCAAAUCAUCAUGCCCCUUAUGUCCUGGGCUACACACGUACUACAAUGGCUGUUACAGAGGGAAGCGAAGCAGUGAUGUGGAGCAAAUCCCGAAAAGCAGUCUCAGUUCGGAUUGU